rnacentral:misc_RNA from 1 species
UCAUAACCCCUGCUAAAGCCUCCUCCAUACCGACCAGAAUAUCCAUAAGAGGGCUCCCCUCUAUAAGACCCAAUGCCACCACUGCCACCACUGCCACCACUGCCAUAUCCUCCAUAUCCACCAAACUCACCCCCAUUAUAUCCACCAUAAGUACUGGCUCUAUCUCCAUAAACUCCGCCAGACCUAUAACCACCACCACCACCACCACCAAAGCCACUGCCUACGUAUCCAUCAUAUGCAUCACCAAAUCCACUACCAAAUGCAGAUCUUGAAUCAUUAUAACGCUUGGAAGGGGGCGGUGGAGGGUUGGCCUUCUUUGGCUCUGCCUUCUUGAUCUCCACCUGAGUUCCAGCUAACUCAAG